CCUCCCACUUCACCCUGACGUAAAGCGACCCCAGCCCGCCAAUAAAGUCACGCUACCAACAGUUUAAACCAUGGCUGUGAAACAUCUGGCACGAGGGUAACGACCGGCUCGCCAAAUGGUGUAAUUCUAGUUAAGUGACUACUCUUCUGGACAGAGAUCUCACAUGUCAUUCCUGGGAUUUGCUGGAGCCAUUCGCCCAGUUUGGGUGUCACUGUCCCGCGUGCUCCGAUUACCACAAAGCCCACUGUUGCCUUCGCCCUCCACAUCUUCUGUAGCUUCUCUUUCAGCCCUUGGUAUUUCUCCAACUUCUUGUGUUCCUUCUUCCCGGUGUUGCUAUUACUCUGUAUAACUAUAUCUAUCACUACAGCCUUCUUUCUUUGCUUGUCCAGCAAUAGUGUGUCUGUCUGUAUCUGGAAGUCCUACGGGAUGCCAAGAUUAUUCGGAUGAUAUUGUGGCAACAUAUUAGAUUAUUAGACUGUUAAGGGGGAAAAAGACCCCACUUCUUCUUACUGGCUUCAAGAACUUGUUUUUUUUUGUCAAGAAAGUUUUCUUGACAUAAUCUCCAUGCGUCGAUCAAACCAGAUCCGUUCACCGAGGCUUUGGGUGGUGGGUUUUUCCUCUAUGGUUUUUUUUUUGCUUCUACAACCUUUUACAGGGUGUAACUGACUUCUCCCCCAGUUGUAGCUGAGAACAAUGAAAAAUUAAUAAUUAUAUUUCUCCUGUGGGAGCAUUCACCACUUGAGCAAAUGUCUAUAGCUCAGCCAAGGAUAUUUGUUAAUCUGUAAUUAGAUGUGCGCCCUUUGACAGGUUGCACACUUUGCAUCAUUAUACAGUUCACCAGCUCAUUUAAAAUAAAAAUGUUGCAGUUCCAUACCAGGUAUUCCAAAUAUUUUUAUUGAGUAAACAUCUUUAAAUGAUUCUUCAAAUGAUAUGGUCACAAAUUUUUACCUGAAAUCUCUUUAUUUACAAUGUAAACACAAAAAUAUAGCUUGUAUCGCAUAAUAAAAACAAUUUUGGUGUAUAACAAAGGACAAAGCUGCAAAAUAGUCACGUGUUGUUUGGGGGGUUUUGUACAUUUUGUUACAUGCUA